AUUGAACGCUGGCGGCAGGCCUAACACAUGCAAGUCGAGCGGAUGAAGGGAGCUUGCUCCUGGAUUCAGCGGCGGACGGGUGAGUAAUGCCUAGGAAUCUGCCUGGUAGUGGGGGAUAACGUCCGGAAACGGGCGCUAAUACCGCAUACGUCCUGAGGGAGAAAGUGGGGGAUCUUCGGACCUCACGCUAUCAGAUGAGCCUAGGUCGGAUUAGCUAGUUGGUGGGGUAAAGGCCUACCAAGGCGACGAUCCGUAACUGGUCUGAGAGGAUGAUCAGUCACACUGGAACUGGAACACGGUCCAGCCUCCUACGGGAGGCAGCAGUGGGGAAUAUUCGACAAUGGGCGAAAGCCUGAUCCAGCCAUGCCGCGUGUGUGAAGAAGGUCUUCGGAUUGUAAAGCACUUUAAGUUGGGAGGAAGGUCAGUAAGUUAAUACCUUGCUGUUUUGACGUUACCAACAGAAUAAGCACCGGCUAACUUCGUG
rnacentral:rRNA from 1 species